GACGGAGGAUGCAAGUGUUAUCCGGAAUCACUGGGCGUAAAGCGUCUGUAGGUUGUUGUUUAAGUCAACUGUUAAAUCUUGAGGCUCAACUUCGAAAUCGCAGUCGAAACUAUUCAACUAGAGUAUAGUAGGGGUAAAGGGAAUUUCCAGUGGAGCGGUGAAAUGCGUAGAUAUUGGAAAGAACACCGAUGGCGAAGGCACUUUACUGGGCUAUUACUGACACUCAGAGACGAGAGCUAGGGUAGCAAAUGGG
rnacentral:rRNA from 1 species